rnacentral:lncRNA from 1 species
GUUCUUAGUACUACCUUCGUGAUCCCGCACUCCUAAUCAUAUAAGCUAAAGUAUUGCACAUUCAAUCUUUGGAAGAUAUAAACAAAACAUAAAUAUAGAUAGAUUAUCUUUCCAUUAGGUUGAGCCAUCUGAUCUAACAAAUGUUUUAAAUGCUACACUCAUGAUCCAUCAACUUUGUCUUGCUCACUAUGCUUAAGGUUAGAGAAGAACAAAUACACUUUUGGUUCUGUUGGUGUUUUACACCAACAGGGCCCAUGCACUUGAUCUCUGCCU